AAAAGUGAUGGUUCUUCGAGGGAAGCAGCCUGUUAUCCGCAACCACGGUCAGGAGCUGAAGGUUUUUACUGCUCCUUCGUGCCCACUUAGUGGGCGUAAGGGGGUUCCACCCUUUGGGUGCAACCGCAUAAACAGUAAUUGGCCUCCCAUUAUUGGUGGCACUCCAGCCUCGAAGAGGUACCCUCCUCCUGGAGUACAGAGACUAUCUUCGUCUCACCACCAACUCUCAACCGUAAAGCGGGCAAGUCAGCAAGCCCUUCUGAGUCCCAUCACCUUAUUGCCCCCACUUGGGUUAUAAGCUGCCG
rnacentral:lncRNA from 1 species